AGUCGACGAGAGGACAUGGGAAGCUUGCUUCCUAUGAAAUCGAGUGGCAAACGGGUGAGUAACGCGUAAACAACCUGCCCUUCGGAUGGGGAUAACAGCCGGAAACGGCUGCUAAUACCGAAUACGAUCUUUUCGUCGCAUGACGGAAAGAAGAAAGGAUGGCCUCUAUACAAAGCUAUCGCCGAAGGAGGGGUUUGCGUCUGAUUAGCUGGUUGGAGGGGUAACGGCCCAACAAGGCGAUGAUCAGUAGCCGGUCUGAGAGGAUGAACGGCCACAUUGGGACUGAGACACGGCCCAGACUCCUACGGGAGGCAGCAGUGGGGAAUCUUCCGCAAUGGACGAAAGUCUGACGGAGCAACGCCGCGUGAGUGAAGAAGGUCUUCGGAUUGUAAAGCUCUGUUAUACGGGACGAAAAAGACGGAUGCCAACAGUAUCCGUCCGUGACGGUACCGUAAGAGAAAGCCACGGCUAACUACGUGCCAGCAGCCGCGGUAAUACGUAGGUGGCAAGCGUUGUCCGGAAUUAUUGGGCGUAAAGGGCGCGCAGGCGGUUCGGUAAGUCUGUCUUAAAAGUGCGGGGCUUAACCCCGUGAGGGGACGGAAACUGUCGAACUUGAGUGUCGGAGAGGAAAGCGGAAUUCCUAGUGUAGCGGUGAAAUGCGUAGAUAUUAGGAGGAACACCGGUGGCGAAAGCGGCUUUCUGGACGACAACUGACGCUGAGGCGCGAAAGCG
rnacentral:rRNA from 1 species